rnacentral:rRNA from 1 species
UCGCUGUCGGCUCCCCCUCACCUGGCUGUGCAGUAGCAGCCAAGGGUAUAGGUGUCCACUAGUUAAAAGGGGACGUUAGCUGGGUUCAGAACGUCGUGAGACAGUUCGGUCGCUAUCUAUUGGUGGUGUUUGCCGUCUGAGGGGAAGGUCGGGUGAGUACGAAAGGAACGCCCGAUCGCGGCCUCUGGUGGAUCGGUUGUUCAUGCAUUGCCGAGUAGCUACGCCGUAAUGGAUAACCGCUGAAAGCAUCUAAGCGGGAAGCCAUCCCCAAAUAAGAGAC